GGUGAAAAGCACCCCGGAAGGGGAGUGAAAUAGAACCUGAAACCGUGUGCUUACAAGUAGUCAGAGCCCGUUAAUGGGUGAUGGCGUGCCUUUUGUAGAAUGAACCGGCGAGUUACGAUUUGAUGCAAGGUUAAGCAGUAAAUGUGGAGCCGUAGCGAAAGCGAGUCUGAAUAGGGCGUUUAGUAUUUGGUCGUAGACCCGAAACCAGGUGAUCUACCCUUGGUCAGGUUGAAGUUCAGGUAACACUGAAUGGAGGACCGAACCGACUUACGUUGAAAAGUGAGCGGAUGAACUGAGGGUAGCGGAGAAAUUCCAAUCGAACCUGGAGAUAGCUGGUUCUCUCCGAAAUAGCUUUAGGGCUAGCCUCAAGUGAUGAUUAUUGGAGGUAGAGCACUGUUUGGACGAGGGGCCCCUCUCGGGUUACCGAAUUCAGACAAACUCCGAAUGCCAAUUAAUUUAACUUGGGAGUCAGAACAUGGGUGAUAAGGUCCGUGUUCGAAAGGGAAACAGCCCAGACCACCAGCUAAGGUCCCAAAAUAUAUGUUAAGUGGAAAAGGAUGUGGCGUUGCCCAGACAACUAGGAUGUUGGCUUAGAAGCAGCCAUC
rnacentral:rRNA from 1 species